AUCUCUGCUGCUUCAGUUUCUGGCUCAUGUGAGGCCUGAGAAAGCAGAGUCUCUUUCUCAAGCUCUGGGUGAUGAGCUCGACCUCAGUCAGACUCAGCUGAACUCGCAGGUCUGUGAAGCUCUGAAGCUGAUUCUGGAAUAUUCUGAAGGACUGACAGAACUGGAUCUGAGUCAGUGCCGUCUCACCGAUGACAGUCUGGAUCUGCUGCUCCCAAACCUCCACAAAGCACAGAACAUUGAUUUUAGUGGCAAUAGCAUCACUGACCUUGGGGCUCUGAGAAUCUACAGUAUCAUCACUCACAACAGUAAACAUAAAGACAGUAAGGCUCUUCAACAACAGAAUUGAAUCCAGAGAGCUCUUCAGCACAGACCCC